AUGAUAAGUUUAAGCCAAACAAGUAUCCCAGGACCAUGCCUGCCACUCCAGCUACUUCAGAACCACUGCAUGUGUCUGAUCUUUGUUAUCCACCUGCCUGGAAACAUGUCUCUGUGCUUAUUUAAGUUCCAUUUAUUGAGAAUCGACAUAAACCCCACCAGGAGUCUGUCUGGACGGAGGCAAAGAGAAGAGGUCCAGGAGAGUCCUCUCGAGCCUUUAUAAAUGAGAAGUGAAAGAAUCACUGCUUUAAAUCACAACAUACUCUGAAAUGUGUUUAAGUCAGAAAACAUGAACUUUUUUUUUACCGAAGACAUCACCGGAUUGCCAAAGAAACCAUUUUAGCAUGGAUGAAACUCAAUGAGUGACAAAAUCCUUAUCUCCUUUGGGCGGCCCUGUAUCCAACCUGCAUGUUUUCCAAAACACAGAUAAAAUGUGCUGUCCAUUUAUCUUUUAAGAGUACAUCAAGACUUCAGCAAGAAUCUGGCUUCAAGAAAAUCUGGAAUUUAGGACUUCGAGAGACAAGGGUCUCUAAUUCUGUAGCUGAAACUUGGUCAUUCUUCUAUUUGCUGAAUUUUUAUAUAUGGUGAUCUUGAAUUAAAUUCUGUAAUGAAAUAAGCCCCUUUUACUAGAGAAUAAGAAUAAAAACCAUCUCCCAACUUUUUCUACCUCCA
rnacentral:lncRNA from 1 species